GAGACACCCUUAUGGGGCAGGACUUGCUUCAGUGGGGCUUUGGUGCUCACUGAGUCUGCCCUCUAUGAGUGUGUCUCU
rnacentral:pre_miRNA from 1 species